rnacentral:lncRNA from 1 species
AAGUUUCCAAGAUAAUAUAUUUCAGUAAGCACAAAAGAAGUUAAAAGGCAAUAUUACACAUAAAGUGAAGAACUUCAUAACAAUCAUUCGUAGGAGGCCAAAACAAAUUAAAUUGCAGUUUUUUAUUUUAACCGAAAUCAAAGGAAAUAUCAUUCAUGAGAAACAGAAAUGAAUUGGGGUUUAGGUGAAAAGAAAAGACCCAUAAAACAAUUCACGUGCACAUUCUAAGUGACAUGUUUUUAUCAACAUUAACUAACCUGGUAUUGAAUAAUAAUAUAUGUGCAUGUGUAAAAUGUAGUUUGAUAUCUGAAGCUACAUAGGACUGGCAAAUCUGGAAUACGAAAGUAUAAAAGCUGAUCCCAGAAAAAAUGUCUGCAAGUCAACUAAUGCAAGGAGACUCAAAAACUUCAUUUAAUCACAAAUCAAAUACCUAUAUAAUGAUCAAAUAAUGCUUGAUCCAAAAAAAGAAUUACAUAAAGCUCCCCCUUCAAGGUGAUCUCAUUCAAUUUCAUUGGUGGUAAGCUAUUUUGUUUAAUACUUUCAGCUAAGAAAGGGUCAAUCAAUUCCAAAUGCAUUUCCAUUAAUAAUCUUUGUUGUGAAGGACAAUGCCAGAUUUCUAGAAUCUUAUUGAAACUGCUCCAGCAUUCCUAUCACUCUUAAAGAUUUUAAUCAAUGAUGUCCCAAAUCAUUAUUCUAAUACUAGAAGUAAUCUUCAGUAUUAAUAAGUGCAUGUAAAUGGUUAUUAGCAAUACGAAAGCAGUGACAAAGGGCAGGGAGAGCUGCCCAUGCGAUCCACAAAAUUUCCCUACCCUAUAACUUUGACAUUCUCUACAAUUGCAAUGGGUUAUUGAAAAUAGAAACGAAGUAAACUAGAAUUUCCAAUUAAACAGCAAACUGCAAUACCAAACAUAGAAGGAAAAAAAAAUAAAAUUGAGCUCAAGUUAGACUAGUAAAGUAAUCAACUAUACUAAAGCAAAUAAUUAUAAUAAUAAAAUCUUCCAUCCGAAACCCAUCUCCAAAAAGAGAAAGAAAAUAUGUAAAAGAAAGGAAGAUCAUGAAAUAGAUUCUGUACAUACUAAAAGAAAGCAAACUUACCAGGAGAUGAAGAGGAAGAGGAAUUAGAGGAGAAUUGAGAGACAUAAACGGGAGCAUUGUUGCCAAAUAGAGUGCCCAAGUAGAAAGAACCCACCAUUAAUAAUAAAGCCACCAUUAUCAUCUGCCCUGAUUUCAAAUCAAAAGCGGAGCCUCUCCAUUGACGUUAAUUAGGAUGAGAUCAAGUCUGCUGCAAUUUGGAUUAGAUUACCAGAUCUUUCAGUGCAUUUAUAGCAUGAAAGGAUGCUAAAUAGAAUUGCCUCUUCCAUGGGUAAAGUAAUAAAGGUUGAUUAUAAUACUGCUGAUGUGCUCCAGAAAAAAUUUACUCAAAUUAUUGCGCAAGUUAGUGUUAAAAAUAGAGUUCAACAGGUUGAAUACAAAAGUUUGCCUAACCCUGAGCAAACUAGAACAGAGCCAGAGAAAUAAAAUUUUUUUGGAAAAUGGAUUAAAUUCUUACGGCGUAACGAAAGGCCACAGAAGGAGAAUAUGGAAAAAUUGAAUAAAAUAGAGAGGGCUGGAUCUCGUUUUGAAAUCCUUAGAAAUGAAAGUGAAGUUAAUACAGAAAUGGAAAAUGCAGAUCUAUAGGAAGUUGCCGCGAACGGGCAAGAGGGCCAACCUAAAGAAAAAAAAACAAGAGUAAUACUUUUUUACAAUUCUCGGGGUUCUAAUAUUUCCUUCUCCACCUCUUAUAUUCAUUUCUUUAAAAAAAUAUUAAUUUGUAACUCAAAGAAAACAAAUCAUUUAGACAUUUAAAUCCAAAUUAAGAGUAGGAAACCCAUAAAAUUAAACUUCGCAAAGUGAAACAUAUUUUAGAAUAUUUAAAAGUUCAAAAUCUUUGAGCAUUAUAGCUCAUUGAUAAUAUAUAAAAUUAAGACUUUCUGCGAUCAAGACACAUAUCCACAGUCCGACUAAGCCCUUGCAAUUAAAGAAAACCAGUCUCGAUGAGGGAUGGGCAAGUUGAACACGACUGGUUUCGACUAGAGGAUAAAUAUAAACCUUCAAUGCGAUGGUUUGCUCCAUUAAUCCAUGUUGAGGUCAUAAAUGUGCGUGUUAUGAAUCAAACUGAUGUGACGCGGGUGAAAGGACAGAGUAUGUAUUAACCGAUUCCGUAUUUAUUAGUCGUCUGACCACCAUUAAUGAGUCGCCUAACACACCUCCUAAAGAAUAUCCUCAUUCGAUCAGAUGGGAUAUGAUACAGGGGUAUUAGGAUGAUCAGGGUAUAUAUAUCUAUGAACCAACUCCAAUUCGACAUUCUUAACAUCCCUUGUAGAACUUAGCGCUUUCGCUCCUUUUGAACCCUUACCUACCCGGGUCAAUACACUCAGCUCUAUCAAUUCUCAACCCACCGAUCCAUUGAGUUCCCUGUGAGAUCGAACCCUUGUCCAAGUGUCUUCAUCCGACAAUCUCACUGGAUCUCAGUUCAUCAAUUGGCGUCGUUUGUAGAAACGAAAGAAAUUAUCCUAUCACUGAAGUUUCUAAACAAAAUCCAUUGAGAUCCACAUAGCCAACCAAGAAAACAACUCAUCAAUACCUGUUAGAAAUGAAAACUAAAUCCCUAAAACUCCCAACUUCAAGGAUUUCCCAUAACCUUAUUCUCGCUUUCCUCCACCCAAACAAUUUCCAACAUACCUUCUGCUAAUAACCCCAUAUUAAUAAACACCAUCCCACAAACUCCUUCAUGAAUCCAACACUUACAAACUAUACCAUUGCAACUACAGCAACCCAUUAUUUGGAUGAACCAGAUCAUGCAGCAAAGAGGUCUCACCUUGCCAAUGAUCCAAACCCAAUACCUACUGUGACUCUCAGCCAAUUACCCACACCCACAUUCAUUCCUGAGACAGAAAACUAUGAGCCACUGACCACUCCACUGCUCAUGUAACCAGAAGAAGAAGGGAGGACAAACCAAUCAGGGAACCCCAGCUAAGUUCAGAAAUCAUGCAGUAAGAAGCUUAAUAGAAGGGGAUGUUGAUGUGAGCAGGAGUGCAACGUUAAGAGGAUAUGAGACGGAGAGCGAAGGGGAAGGAACUAGUUCAAGAUCCUAGGAUAACGUCAAAAGGCUCUAUUCGAGGGAUGAAGGAGUAGAAAAGAGUUUGAAAAGGCUGAAAGAAGAACUAUUGGCUGAGCUGAAAAGCCAAGCUGGAGCGCAAACAAGUUUGAGGAUGUCCUCCCCUUUUGUAACUGGCAUCCAAGAACAAACCAUCCCUAAAAAAUUUCUAAUGCCGACCAUGGGAGCAUACAACGACAUAGGAAACUUCAGAGACCAUGUAAUCAACUAUAAGAUUUUUAUGGAGCUGCAAACCCAUUCUGAUACCUUGCUCAGCAAGGUAUUGCCAACUACCCUAACUGGAGCAGCCCUGACAUGGUUUAACAACUUAAAAGCAGAAAUCAUCAAAAACUUUUAUGAUUUGGCCAACUCAUUCAUAGAAAGAUUUAUAACUAGUGUCCCAGCUCAUAAUCAACGCACUAAAUGAAGUUGCCAAAGCAAUUUAUGCUCUAAUGAAAUGAUAAUGUAUAAAGAAAAUGUGUAAGGAACCUUGUUGCAUGAACAUGGCCUGCAGAUACAUUCACCAAAUCAUGGACAUUUAUAAUCCACAGUGUCCCAACUCUCUCCACCAUCACCGCUGAUAUUUGUAAGAACUCCCAUGUAACCAAACCUAAGGUCCUCUCUCUCCUUAUCCAUUUUCAUGCUGAUGCUUAUGUGCUCAUCUUGUUGCUUCGCUUUUUAUCUAUUAGAAUUUAUUUUGAAAUUUGUAUUGAAUUUUGGCUCCUUUUUAUUUCUGGUUGGUAAUUUAUCAUAUUAAAAAAAUCAUAAUUACAAUAAUCAUCAAAUAAAAUUUUCAAAUCAGAAAAUGUGCAAGUAACCUUGAUGUGAGGAAUUACCAACCCCUUCCUAGCGAGCCACCUAUGAUCAUCAAGGUUACUUGCACUUUUUUUUAUUUGAAAAUUUCAUUUGAUGAUUAUUAUAAUUAUGAUUUUUUUAAUAUGAUAAAUUACCAACUAGAAAUGAAAAGGAGCCGGAAUUCAAUAAAAAUUUCAAAAUCGGUUCUAAUUGAUAAAAAGUGAAGCAACAAGAUGAGCACAUAAGCAUCAGCAUGAAAAUGGACAAGGCGAGAGAGGACCUUAGAUUUGGUUACAUGGGAGUUCCUACAAAUGUUAGAGGCGAUGGUGGAGAGAGUUAGGACACUGUGGGUUAUAGAUGUCUAUGAUUUGGUGAAUGUAUCUGUAGGCCAUGUUCAAGCAACAAGGUUCCUUACACAUUUUCUUUACACAUUAUCACUUCAUUAGUGGAUGAAUUGCUUUAGCAACUUCAUUUUAUGCCUUGAUUAUAAGUUGGGACACUGGCUAUAAAUCUUUCCGUGAAUUAGUUGGUCAAAUCAUAAAAAGUUUUGAUACAUUCUGCUUUCAAGUUGUUAAACCAUGUUAGGGCUGCUUCGGUUAGGGUAGUUGGGAAUACCUUACUAAGAAAGACAUCAAAAUGGGUUUGCAGCUCCAUAAAAGUCUUGUAAUUAAUUUCAUGGUCUUUAGGGUUUCUUGUGCCGCUGUAUGCUCCCAAGGUAGACAUUAGGAAUUUUUUAGGGAUGGUUUUUUCUUGGAUGCGAGUUACAAAAGGGGAGCAUGUUCUCAAAAUUGUUUGUGCUCUGGCUUGGCUUUUCAGCUUAGCCAAUAGUUCUUAUUUCAGCCUUUCCAGUCUCUUGUCUACUCCUUCAUCCCUCGCAUCAUGCUUUUUGAUGUUAUCCGAGGAUCUUGAACUAGUUCCUUCCCCUUCGCUCUCCAUCUCAUGUCCUCCUAGCCCUGCACUCCUACUCACAUCAACAUCCCCUUCUAUUAAGCUUCUUACAACAUGACUUUUGGACUUAGCCAAGGGUUCCCUGAAUAGUUUUUCCUCCCUUCUUCUUCUGGUUACAUGGACGCUGGUCACUGGCUCGUGGUUUUCUAUCUCGAGAAUGAAUAUAGGUGAGGUAAUUGCCUAGGAGUCAUGGUAGGUAUUGGGUUUGUGAUCAUUGGCAGGGUGAGACCUCUUUGCUGCAUGAUCUAGUUCAUUCAAAUCAUAGUUUGUUGCAGUUGCUGUACAUGGUUUGUAGGUCUUGGUUUAAUGAAGGAGUUUGUGGAAUGGUGUUUAUUGGCAUUGAGUUACUAGCAGAAGUUAUGUUGGACAUUGUUUGGGUGGAGGAAAGCGAGAAUAAGAUUAUGGGAAAUCCUUGAAGGCUGUGAAUUUCAGGGAUUUGAUUUUCAUUUCCAACAGGUGUUGAUGAGUUGUUUUCUUGGUUUUCCAUGUGGAUCUCAAUGAGUUUUUUUUUUUAAAACUCCGAUGAUAGGAUAAUCUACUUCGUUCCCACAAAUGACGCCAAUUGAUGAACUGAAAUCCAGUAGGAUUAUUGAAUAAAGACACCUAGAUAAGGGUUCGACCUUACGGGGAAUUCAAUGGAUCGAGAUUGGUGGUUAGAGAGUUAAUAAAGCUGAGUGUAUUGACCCGGGUAGGUUAAGGUUUAAAAGUAGCGAAAGUGAUACGUUCUACAAGGGAAGUUAAGAAUGUCGAAAUUGGAGUUGGUUCAGGAGUAUAUAUAUCCUAAUCAUCCUGACAGCCACUAUAUCAUGUUCCAUCCAAUUGGAUGGGGAUAUCUUUUAACAGGUGUCAGGCGGCUCCUUAAUGGUGGGCAGUCGGCUAAUAAAUGCAUAGUCGGUUAAUCCAUGCCCUAUCCGCUGAAUAGAAACAUUAAACUAAAAGCCCAUACAAAAUGAGCACCUAGGAAAAAAAGGCCAUACGCAGAUAAUGAAGAACCAUAGGACUGAAUUACCUGGGAUGCCUAUGCCCAUUGGUCCAAGUGGAGAGAAAAAAAAAAUGGAACUUAAAAUCUUUUCUAGAGAUAUCCAUUUUCCGGGAGAGACAGAUAAAAUAUCUCGACACAGUGAUAUCUUAAUACCACCAGGAACGGUAAAAACAAAUUCUAAGGAAUUAAAAAAAGUGAAAAAUUGGAUCUAUAUCCAACGAAUCACACCUACCAAGAAAAAAUAUUUUGUUUUGGUUCGAUCAGUAAUCAUAUAUGAGAUAGCGAACGGUAUAAAUUUAGAAACACUUUUCCCCCAGGUUCUAUUGCAAGAAAAGGAUAAUAUGAAAUUUCGAGUUGUCAAUUAUAUUCUUUAUGGGACUGGUAAACCAUUCGGGGGAAUUUCUGACACAAGUAUUACCUUGGGCAGAUAGCGGGAAUCUAACCCGCGUCUUCUCAUUGGCAAAGAGAAAUUUUACCAUUCGACUAUAUCCGCAUUUUUUUCGUUCUUGAUACAUGAUGUCUGGAUCAUAUUUAUGAACAGCUAUGCUAGAUAUUUUUUUCAGGACGAUUCUUAUUAUAUUUUAUAUUAUUAAAUAUUAUUAAUAUUAUUAAUAUAUUAUUAUAUCUUAGAUUAUUAUUAAUUAUUAUUAUAUCUUACAUUAUUAUAUCUUAUUUAUCUUAUUAUUAUUAUAUUUUUUAUAUUAUUAUUUUUAUAUUAUUUUAGUACAUUAUUAGUAUAAUUUGUAUAAUUUUGAUUUAAUAAUAUAUUUUUGGGCCGCGUCACAUCAGUCUGAUUCAUAACAUGCCAUUUAUAAUAUCAGCAUGGAUUAAUGGAGCCGACCAUCGCGUUGAAGGUUUAUAUUUAUUCCCUAGUCGUAACAGGUCGUGUUCAGCCUACCCGGCCCUCAUCGAGGUUGGUUUUCUUCGAUUGCCAGGGCCUAGUCGUACCGUGGACAUGUGUCCUGAUCGCAAAAGGUCUUAUAUUUUAUAUAUUAUCAGUGACCUAUAAUGCUUAAUUAUUUUGAGCUUUUAAAUAUUCUAAAAUAUGUUUCACUUUGCGAAGUUUAAUAUUAUGGUUUCCUACUCUUAAUUUGAUUUUGAAUGUCUAAAUGAUUGAUUUUUUUCGAGUCACGCAUUGAUAUUUUUUAAAAGAAAUUAAAGGAAAAAAUGAAAAUAGGAGAAGGAGAAGGAAAUAUUAAAACUCCGAGAGUCAGUAAAAAAAGAUUAAAGAUGAGAAAGAAAAAUUAAUAUAGAAUAUGUUGAUGUGGAUUUUUACAUCAACAUUUUUUUUUUGUUACAGGAGGAAGAGCUAAAGCUCUGCAACAUAAUGCACAUGUUUGCUAAUCCCUUGACUCAUAUAAAAGCAAGUGAUGCAAGUCUUGGGGGGAGUAGAGAGGACAUGAACACCAACCAGGAAAGAAGAUGCUUCCUUACCUAUCCAGUCAGCAUAAGAGGUUGCUUCUCGGUAGACAUGUCUGAAAGUUAUUGACAAUUCAGGUAUAAUCAAUAUUUGGAUAACUAGUACCAUGUGUCAGAGUUCAAUUGGUAUUGCUCUUUUGCCUUGUAGCAUAUUUACUACCUCGUUGUUAUCACUUUCAAGGAUAAAACAUUUUGAACCCAGAUUAACAGCUAACUUGAUGCCCUCAUAGGCUACCUUCAACUCCACUCCAAGAACACUCAUUUUACCAAAAUUUGCUGCAAAGCCCUUGAUCCAACCCCCAUUGUGGUCCCUUAUAAGGCCUCCCCUGUAAAUCAUACUUGUCUCCAAAUGACACGAGUUGUCUACAUUGACUUUCCACAUGUGCUCCCUUGGCUUCUCCCAAGAAGCCCAUAUAAUUCCUUCAUUCUCAGCUCUAUCUGCUCUUGGGACCUUUAUACAGACUCGACAAAAAUCCUUAGCUCGACUAACUGCUACUUGUAUGACAAAUUGGAUAUCUCUAGCUUUUUCUUGAAAAAUAACUUCAUUUCUUUUGUGCUAGAGACCCCAACGAAUCGCUCCAAACGUUAAUUGCCAUUGCAACCCAUUAGAAUCUAGAUGGAGGCUCCACAAGUUGGUAUUUAACCAACCACGAAUAUCAAUAUUAAGGGUGAAGAAGCUAUCCUAAUGAUGUCGUAGAACUAGGCUCUUCCACACAUUCUUAGCAAAGCCACAGUCACGCAAUAUGUGUAUUCUAGUCUCAGCAUCCCUACGGCAAGUUUCACAGGUGGUUGUAUUAUUGAUAUGCUGCCUGAGCCUUUCCACAUCUGUUAAGAGCUUGUUGUGCUUGGCUAGCCAUAGAAAUAUCUUCACUGUCUGCAGUCUAAGCCAUCGCCAUACAGUUUUUCAACUUCCAUGGCUUCUAUCCAUGUUAAUAUCUGCAAGAUAAAUAUAAGCAGAUUUAAGGUUAAACAUACCUGAACUUGAGAAUUUCCAGAUCAUUGUGUCAGUUUCCAUGCGCAGCGCAAAAGGAGAGACAUUUGCAAUCUGUAAAAUCACCAAGGCUGGUAGAUAGCUACUGAAACUAGGCUAAUGCCAUGUUCCUUCAGGAGUUAUAUAAUAGCUUACACAUUGUUGCCUCAGGUUAUUAGGCACCUCAUACAUCCAAAAGCUUCAUACCACUUGGUAGCCACUCAUCUUCACAGAAUUUGAUCCUUCUCCUAUCACCCAAAGACCAAGCAAUGGCUUCCCUAAACUUGUCCCAGAUCUUCAUAAUUCCCCUCUAGACAUUAGAGGCCUUUUUUAUUUUAACAUGUUCUGGUAAUAGUUCUAUUAUUUUGUAUUUAGUCCUCAAUAUGCAGACCCAAAGACCUUCAAGACUGCUCACCACACCCCAUGCUAACUUGAGUAAAAAGGCCAUAUUCAUUGUUUUAGCAUCCCUAAAUCAUGAUUCACCCAUUUCCUUUGAAAGCAGAACUUGACUCCAAGGGAUAAAGUUGACUUUCCUACAGUUGUCAUUGCUGCCCCAGAUGAAAUUCCUGGAUAAUUUGUCAAUAGUAGCACAGAUGGAUUCAGUCAGAUACGAAGUUUUCAUGGUAUAAGUAGGGAUUAACAAAAGAGUAGAUUGGGCUAAAGUUCCUCUUCCAACUAAAGAAAAUUUGCUAGCGUCCCAAUUAUUAUGCUUCGUUCUAAUUUUGUCAAUCAGGUAUUGAUAAGUUCUCUUGGUGACACAAUUACGCAAAAGUGGGACUCCUAAAUAUUUGCCAAGAUCAUUAAUUUCCUGUACUCCAAGCUCCUCACAAAUUGCUUAUCUAGUCAGCCUACUCAUAUUUUUAAAGAAAAAAAAUACGAGUUUUGUUUCUAUUAACUCGUUGACCAGAGCUGCUACAAAAAUCUUCAAGCACUUUGUUGAUUUCUUCUACUUGAUCACUUGAAGCCUCUGCAAAUAAGACAAGAUUGUCAGUGAAAAAUAAAUGGGAGAUUAAAGGUCCUUCCUCAUUAAUGCAAAACGGUUUCCAGCUUUGUUGAGCUAUAGCCUUGUUAAUCCUAUGUGCCAACAUUUCCAUGCAGAGCACAAAAAGAUAUGGGGAUAGAGGAUCCCCCUGUCUAAUACCUUGAGUUGGGAAAAAGGGAUUAGUGAGGGUACCAUUCUAGAGAACCUGCAUAGUAGAAGAUGUCACACAAUUCAUAAUAAACUGUAUAAUACUAGCCGGGAAGCCAGCAUCAGAUAGCGUAUCCUCUAAAUAUACCCACUUAACUCUAUCAUAAGCUUUCUCCAAGUCAACUUUAAUAGCAAAAAAACCUUUCUUGCCCAUUCUGGAUCUCAUCGAGUGGAUCACUACUUGUGCAACGAUUAUAUUAUCAACUAUUUUCCUACUAGGCACAAAGCUAGUAUGAUUAGGAUGAAUUAUAAUAGGUAAGACAUGCUUACUACUGUUGGCAAGUACCUUAAUAAUGAUUUUAUAAAUGACACUACAAAGAGAGAUGAGUCUGAAAUUAGAGAUUAAUAGCAGAUUUGCUACUUUAGGGAUAAAAUUUAUGAAGGUAUGAUUUAUUCUUCUUAUAAUAGGAUGACCUGCAAAAGCACGACGAACCUUAUCACAAACUUGAUUCCUCACAACCUCCCAAUUUUUUUGAAACAAGCUGGCAUGGAAUCCAUCUGGCCUUGGGGCUUUCUAUGGCUUCAUCUCAAAGAGAGUGCCUUGAAUCUCAUCUUUGGGCACAUGAGCAGAAAGAUUAGUUAGAACCACAUCCGGUAUAAGGGCGAAUUUACCUCUUAUAUUGUACACUGGGUAUCUGCGCAAUCAUCCAAAUAAAGAUUUUUGAAAAAAGUACAAGCCAAAUCUUGUAAGGACUGUUGAUCAAUGACCCGAGCAUUCUUAUCAUUUCUCAACAUCUCGAUCUAGUUUUGCUUCCUUUUCAUCAUAGUCUUUGCAUGAAAAUAGAAUGUAUUCCUAUCCCGUAGUUUAUCCAUUCUGAACGAGCUUUUUGAAACCAAAUUAGCUCCUCUCUUUGUAAAAUGAUAUCUAGCUCAUGUUGAAGUUUCUUUUCGAGGGUGUAAAGAGACUUGGACCAUUUUGUUUCCAGACUGCGUUGAAUGGCAUCAAUCUCGUCAAGAAGAGUUCUUUUCUAGUAAAACACAUUCUCGAAGACUUCUCUAUUGCAACUUCUGAGAUCAUUUGAUAACAACUUUAGGUUAUCUAUAAAAUUACCACUAGUUCUCCACCUAUCUUUCAACAUAUGCAUAAGGGACGCAUGGGUCAAACAUGUGGCCUGAAAGCGAAAAGGCUUCUCCCUAUUUUGUUCCUGGCGGAAGCUUUUUAAACCAAUAAGGAGUGGCCAAUGAUCAAAGUGGGUCCAUUGCAGGUGAAACACACAGCUCACAGGAUAUUGGGAUUGCCAAAGAUUAUUCCUAACCGCUCUGUCCAAUCUUUCAAAAAGAUUACCCCUUCUCCAGGUAAAAUCAGGCGCUUUAUAGCCAAGAUCAUACAUGCAUGUAUCUUCCAUCCGAGAUAAAAUCAGAAGAGACAUCCAACCAAUGAGCAACUCCCCCUUUCUUCUCAUCAGCUACAAGCAAAGUGUUGAAAUCCCCUGUAAGGAGCCAAGCUUCAUCUGGACGUACUCGUAGUGCAGCCAACUUUCUCUAGAGGGUCUUCCGAAUACUAAUUACUGGACUUCCGUACACUUCUGCAAACCAGAAAGGGGAGAAAUUAGCACCCGUAAUAUGAAAAUGAAUAAAUUGUUUAUUGUUUACACAAAAGGAAAGGUUCUAGUCUGAGUUCCAUAAACCCAUAUGCCUCCCCAGAAAUCGUUAGCUUUGACUUUGUGCGAUCCAGCAAAAUUCAACUUCUUAAUAAUGUUAUUUGCUCGAGCGCCACUAAUACGAGUUUCCAAUAGCACCACUAAGCUCGGAUUGUGUUCCUGCAAAAGCAAUUUAAAAUAUCUAAGGAAAUCGGAGCCUUCGGCUCCUUAGCAAUUCUAGAUGAAAAUUGAUAUUAAAAAAAGAGGAAGAGAAAGGAUACAAGUACACCUUAAACUCGUAAGUAGGAGUCACAAUAUGCUACCUCUUCAAAAGAGCUGUUACUCUUAAUCUCCUUAUCCUCUAACAUGUCAUCCACUGGUUUCUUGUUCGUCAGGAGGCCUUCCAAUAUACUACAAGAGCAUUCAAGUUGUCCUAGAUCUCUUCCCAACUGCAAGCUCUGCUUAAAUGGACUAAUAGGGACGUCAGGUGGUCGUGCAUGUGGGGAGAGAAAAUCUUUCAUCUGUGCAUGAAAAUUUACGUCAUUUUCCAUUUGCAUGGUUUGUGACAUGGUGUUGGGCCCCACUUCUUCCUAUGAAUUAAUUACAAUCAUAGAAUGUUUUCUCGGAUUCGGAGAAGAUGGCAAAGCGAUUUUCUCGGAUUCGGAGUAGAUGGCAAAGCGAAAUACUUUUGGCAGCAGAGACUUAAGGGUGAACCUUGGGUAUCUAUUCAAUAUUUUCUACUAUGAUUCCCACAUUUGAAACCUCCUUUUGAUUAAUCAACUUAUUUGGCCCUUUUUUACGCGAUGAGAUAUCUUUUUGGUCACCCCUCUAUUACUCCUGUUUUUUUUUUCUUUAGGUUGGCCCUCUUGCCCGUUCGUGGCAACUUCCUGCAGAUCUGCAUUUUCCAUUUCUGUAUUAACUUCACUUUCAUUUCUAAGGAUUUCAAAACGUGAUCCAGCCCUCUCCAUUUUAUCCAGUUUUUCCAUAUUCUCCUUUCGUGGUCGUUCGUUACGCCGUGAGACUUGAAUCCAUUUCCCAAAAAAAAUUUAUUUCUCCGGCUCUGUUCUAGUUUGCUCAGGGUUAGGCAUUCCAUCAUUACUGGAGACACCUUUGAAAAAAUAGAAAUUACUCCAAUGACUAAUUCGUCCAUACUCAAAAUAGAUUUGUGGCAAAAUUUUGUAUUCAACCUGUUGAACUCUAUUUUUAACACUAACUUGCGCAACAAUUUGAGUAAAUUUUUUCUGGAGCACAUCAGCAGUAUUAUAAUCAACCUUUAUUACUUUACCCAUGGAAGAGGCAAUUCUAUUUAGCAUCCUUUCAUGCUAUAAAUGCACUNNNNNNNNNNNNNNNNNNNNNNNNNNNNNNNNNNNNNNNNNNNNNNNNNNNNNNNNNNNNNNNNNNNNNNNNNNNNNNNNNNNNNNNNNNNNNNNNNNNNNNNNNNNNNNNNNNNNNNNNNNNNNNNNNNNNNNNNNNNNNNNNNNCUCUAUUUGGCAACAAUGCUCCCGUUUAUGUCUCUCAAUUCUCCUCUAAUUCCUCUUCCUCUUCAUCUCCUGGUAAGUUUGCUUUCUUUUAGUAUGUACAGAAUCUAUUUCACGAUCUUCCUUUCUUUUACAUAUAUUCUUUCUCUUUUUGGAGCUGGGUUUCGGAUGGAAGAUUUUAUUGUUAUAAUUAUUUGCUUUAGUAUAGUUGAUUACUUUACUAGUCUAACUUGAUCUCAAUUUUAUUUAUUUUCUUUCUAUGUUUGGUAUUGCAAUUUGCUGAUUAAUUGGAAAUUCUAGUUUACUUCGUUUCUAUUUUCAAUAACCCAUUGCAAUUGUAGAGAAUGUCAAAGUUAUAGGGUAGGGAAAUUUUGUGGAUCGCAUGGGCAGCUCUCCCUGCCCUUUGUCACUGCUUUCGUAUUGCUAAUAACCAUUUACAUGCACUUAUUAAUACUGAAGAUUACUUCUAGUAUUAGAAUAAUGAUUUGGGACAUCAUUGAUUAAAAUCUUUAAGAGUGAUAGGAAUGCUGGAGCAGUUUCAAUAAGAUUCUAGAAAUCUGGCAUUGUCCUUCACAACAAAGAUUAUUAAUGGAAAUGCAUUUGGAAUUGAUUGACCUUUUCUUAGCUGAGAGUAUUGAACAAAAUAGCUUACCACCAAUGAAAUUGAAUGAGAUCACCUUGAAGGGGAGCUUUAUGUAAUUCUUUUUUUGGAUCAAGCAUUAUUUGAUUUGUGAUUAAAUGAAGUUUUUGAGUCUCAUUGCGUUAGUUGACUUGCAGACAUUUUUUCUGGGAUCAGCUUUUAUACUUUCGUAUUCCAGAUUUGCCAGUCCUAUGCAGCUUCAGAUAUCAAACUACAUUUUACACAUGCACAUAUAUUAUUAUUCAAUACCAGGUUAGUUAAUGUUGAUAAAAACAUGUCACUUAGAAUGUGCACGUGAAUUGUUUUAUGGGUCUUUUCUUUUCACCUAAACCCCAAUUCAUUUCUGUUUCUCAUGAAUGAUAUUUCCCUUGAUUUCAGUUAGAAUAAAAAAACUGCAAUUUAAUUUGUUUUGGCCUCCUAGGAAUGAUUGUUAUGAAGUUCUUCACUUUAUGUGUAAUAUUGACUUUUAACUUCUUUUGUGCUUACUGAAAUAUUUUAUCUUGGAAACUUUCAGAUAUGUUCACAUUUAGCAACAAAAUUGCUCGCUUUUAACUGAAAAUGGGAUGAAUAUAUGCCCCAUGAAGUUUAAUGAGUAAAUCCCUUGCCAUGAUGUUCUCCAAGUGAAAAGUCUACUCCCAAGCUUAGAUCUUUCUUGAAAAGAAGAGCUGGAGAGGCGUUGCCCUCCACCUGAAAAGCGUCUACUUGUGCUCGGUGCCACCCCAGAAGAUUAUAAAUUGCCAACCAGCAGGAAUCAUGUUUGGCAAAGCAAUGUGAAUCAGACACGUCUUGCUGCAGUCAAAGGAAUUGGGUGCAUGAAAAGGAUCAAUUACGGUGGUUUGCAGGAGGCGAUGAUCAUUUCAAAAUUCAAAGCACGGGGCACCGGAGUGCAUUUGGAGGUAACUUAGAUGAUCUUUUUCUUACAUAUCUUAAUACCUUUGAGCUGGUUUUGUCAUUUGAUGUUAUUUCACUACCCAAGCAAGCGAUUGGUCUCACAUUACGUAUAAUUAGUUAAAUACCAUUCUGUUUCCUUUUCAAUUCUAAAUGCAGGUUGGAACUGUGACGACUAAUGAAACAUCUGCUGUCAGCUGGGGUUGUUGAAGUUCUGGAUGUUGGGCUGCGUGUUUGCUAGCUUCUCUGGUUGUCUCCUUCCCUUGGAAAUACAAACAUGUCUUCUUCUCCCAAAGGUGAUUCUUAUUUUUGUUUCGUUUUGGAAUUGAAGCAACUGCAGUCCGAACUGAUUGUACCUUAGAUGUAGGGUUUUUAAGAGUUUGGUUAUGUUGGACAUCACCGUUUUAGUGAGUUUGAAAGGAAUCAUUUAGAGUUGCAUAUUGUUUUGAGGACUCUCUUUAAUUAUAUGUGGAGAGAUAAUUAGGUAAGGUCGACUCGAAAUUUGAAAAAUAAAAAAUCGAAUUGAUAAAAAAUACUAUUAGAAAACGAAUUGAAAUAUGGAGAUGAUUAGGUCAGGUUAGGUUGGUUGAAAAAUUAAAAUUAAAAAAUCAAAUUGAUAAAAAAUACUAUUAGAAAAUGAAUUGAAAUACGAAAAAAAUCAAAUCGUAUGGAAUUAAAUAUUUUCGGUUUGAUUUGUUUAUUCUUUACAACAGCAUAAAACAGCAAUAAAUUUUGUCCAAAAUAAAAAUCAAUACCUUCGAGAACAAAAAAUCACAUAUACAUCUAAAUCAAACAAUAAAAUCACAUAUACAUUUUCUAAAUCAAACAAUAAGAAAUAAAAUGUUCCAAAAAUAGGAACUGAAGUAAAAAAAUUCAUUCAAAAUCAACAUAGCAAACACAAGGAAUCCAUAAGCCAAUCCAAAAAUCAAAACCUCAAACACCCAAUUGAAGAAAUUGAAUCAAAACCUUAAACAUCCAAUUGAAGAAAUUGCAAUCUGCAUCGUGAUUUGUGGACCCUUUGCAAUUGUCUUUGCGCCCAAGACAAAUUCAUAUACGCUUGUUUGUAGAUCUUCCUCAAGAAUCAUCUAAACAAGAAGACACCUAGGAAAAAUUAUUUUCAACUCUUUCUCUUCGUUCGCAAUGUCGAAAUUUGAGCCUUCAAGAAAAAGCAAUCCAUCAUGCAUAUGGAUGAAUGAGAUGAGAAAUUGUAAAAAUGAGAGGAAGGCCAAUGAAGUAUGUGAUUUUUUGAUGGUCAUGCGAGUUUAGUGAUCUUUGCCACUUAGAUUUCAGCUUUGUGCAUGAGUUUUAGAUGAAGACUUAAUGGUAGAUGAAAGAAGAAGAGACAACGAUAGAGAAGAGAAAUUGAGAAAUUAGCAAUUUUAAACACUUAGACUUUAACCAUAGAGAUGAGAAAGGUAUAUAAAAAAAAAAGGUCUUGUGGACAGAGAAUGUGAAAUAUAGGAAAAGAAGAAAGAAUUGUAGAAAUGAAGCCUUUUAAUUCUUCGGCUGGUACAGUUUUUUCCAUUAAUUUCAGAUAUUAAAUCAAACCAAAAAUUAAAAAUUUAACUAAUCAAACUAAAUAGAUUAAUUUAAUUUUAUUUAAUUUAAUUUUUUUUAUUAUAACGGAAAAGUAUUCCCGCCGGCAAAUGGUAUGAUUGCAUUUUUUUUAAAAUAAAAAUCGAAAAAGUAAAAUCAAACCUUUUAAAUUUAAUUACAUAUAUUUAACAACCGAUUAAACAUGUGAUUUUUUUUUUUUCAGCUUACAUUUUUUAAAUUACUGUAAAAAAGGAUUAAUUACCUGUCAAAUUCAAGUCACUUUCCAUGUAUUAUUUUUAAUUAUUAACUUUUAAAAUAGUUAAAUUUAAUUUAUUUAUUUAUCUCCUAAUUCAAAAUUUAUGUUAAUUGUAUCAAUCAUAAGAGAUUAUUGAAUUAAUUUUUUAUUAAAUUAUUAUUUUAUAGAUUAUUUGAAUUUAAAUCAUUUCAGUUUUUGAAUAAGUUAAAAUGUUAUGAAUCACAUUGGAUCCAAUAGACAUUGAUCAAAGCGAUUGGUUAGUCAAACCAAAAUUUUUCUCCUCCGUAAUGUAUAUUUAUCCCUUGUCUGAAAAUUUUAAAAAAAAAACAAAGAAAGAAAGAAAGAGGAAGAGGGAAGAGGGAAGAGAGAAGAGAGAAGAGAGUCACCGUGAAGUGCUUUUUCGCAGGAGGUGAUGGCAUCAUCACUUUGAUGGCGAGUUAUCAGCCCCUCUAUGGCUACGGGGAGAUUGAGAUUGUUGUUGAUCUGCUCUUUCUUUGCCCUUACUGUAAAAUUUCUACUGUUUGUGGAGUUUCUGAUUUUGUGCUUCUUCAUUUUUUUUUGGUGUUUUUUAUUUUCCUAUUUUACAGGAUGCUGAGUUCUAGGGAAUAGUAAUUCACAGUUUUCUACCAUUGCCCUGUGGUAGUGGUGGUGGAGGUGGUGGCGGCUAGCGGCGUUGGACUGUUUUAUCUUUCUUUGAUUAGGGUUUCAAUUUUGAGAGAUGUGGGUGGGUUGGGUUGAUGGACUGCUCUCUAACAAAUAGGCUUAGGCUUGUUUAAAUUGAGUUGUUGGGUUUCGAUUGCUAUUUCUAUCACUUUGACCCUCGAGGGGUUUUAUAAUAUUGCCUGUUGGACUUUCAAUGCAAUAUUUUGUAACCGUUGCAGGCAUUUGUGAUUUGUUAAUUAUUUUGUAACCGUUGCCAAUAAAAUUUUGUAUUUUUUUUAUAAGUAAAACUAUUUAUUGUAUUAAUAAAAUUUUAUCAAACAAAAUAAAAUAUCAUCCCAAAUAGACAAUUAUAUCUAAUAGAUUUUUUAGAUAAACUAUAAGCAGUUAUAGUAUUACGAUAAAUUAUUUAACAGAAAUAUCAAUUCAGAAUCUAACAAAAAUUUAUAAUCAUUCAAAUCAAAUCCCUAUAUAAAAUAAUUUGAUAAAAAUGCUUUUCAAGUGUUUAUUUAAAAUUUUGUAUUGAAUAUUUAUUUGUUAUUAAUUUGAUAAAAAUUAUAUAAGUGAUAAAAAAUAAAAAUAAUUAAAUAGAAUAAAAAGAAUAAAAUGAGAGAAUAUAAAAAAAAUAUAACAAGAGGAGAACAGAGAAAACAUGAUUAAAUAAAUGAGUAAUUAUAUAAAUAUAUAAAUUAUUAAUGAAUUAACAACGUAAUUUACAAUAUGGUCUUAAAUGUUUUUUAAAAAAUAGUAUUUUUAUCUAAAUUUUAAUAAUAAGCUUUGAAAUUCGUUAUUAAAUUUGUAUAAAAUUUUAGUACUUCAUAAUUUAAUAAUAGUUUAUGAAUCCAUUGCAAAAUUCAAUAAUAGUUUUUGAAAGCAGUUAAAAAAAAUAUAUUACGAUUUUAUUUUUUUUUUUGAAAUAGGGGGGUGGGGGAGUCGAACCUUUGACCUCACAAGACUACAAGGAUGCACUUUCCACCAGGCUAAGCCUCGGAGUGCAAAAUAAUGCUUUACUAAAUUUACAUUUAAUUUUAAUAUUUUAUAAUUUAAUAAUAAAUUUUAUUAUUAAUUGUUAAUUAGUAUUGAUACGCUUAAAUUUACAUUUAAUUUUAAUAUUUCAUAAUUUAAUAAUAAAUUUUUUAUUAAUUAUUAAUUAAUAUUGAUAUAAUUGAAAUAAAAUUAUAUUGUAAUUUCUAUAAUAAAAAGUAUGUGAAGGCAGGUGAAUGUCAUUGACAUUUAUAACAGUUAAUUCAAUAUUUAAGUAAAUUUAUUAAAAAAAAUAAAUAUAAAAAUUUCUUUAAAAGUCAAAAGUAAUUGUAUAAAAAUAUUUAUCUUGAUUUUUAAUAUUAUUAAUUUUUAUAUUAUAAAAAAAAUAGAGUGCAUUAUCACAUCCACUUAAAAUUUAAUUAGUCAAUCCACUGAAAAUCCAAUUAGUCAAUACAUUGAAAAUCUCGUAAUUAUGGAAUAAUAUUUUAGAAGUAUAAACUUAUGAAUUUUGAUAUUUAACCGACGUGAUAAUCAAAUAUUACAUAUUAAACAUGAAGUCAUUAAUAAUUUAUUUGUGAAUAAAAUAAUCAAAAUACAAGAUAAUUAUACAAUAUAUGUUUUUAAAUUUAUUUAUAUAAUAUUAAUUUAGACUUUUUAAAAUAGUGUAUAUCGUCUGUAAAUAUAAAGUUAUAUGUGAUGUAAUUGUACAAUAUAUGUUUUUAAAUUUAUUUAUAUAAUAUUAAUUUAGAUUUUUUAAAAUAAUAUAUAUAAUCUAUAUAAAUAUAAACUUAUAUAUGAUGUAAAACAACAAUCAUUUAAAAUAAAUUAUAAUUAUAAGUUAUCAUUAUAAAAUAAAAUAAUAUUAAAAGUCUAAUAACAUCAAAUGACAAAACCAGCUCAAAGGUAUUAAGAUAUGUAAGAAAAAGAUCAUCAAAGUUACCUCCGAAUGUACUCAGGUGCCCCGUGCUUUGAAUUUUGAAAUGAUUAUCGCCUCCUGCGAACCACCAUAAUUGAUCCUUUUCAUGCACCCAAUUCCUUUGACUGCAGCAAGACGUGUCUGAUUCACUUUGCUUUGCCAAACAUGAUUCCUGCUGGUUGGCAAUUUAUAAUCUUCUGGGUUGGCACCAAGCAGAAGUAGACGCUUUUCAGGUGGAGGGCAACGCCUCUCCAGCUCUUCUUUUCAAGAAAUAUCUAAGCUUGGGAGUAGACUUUUCACUUGGAGAACAUUAUGGCAAGGGAUUUACUCAUUAAACUUCAGGGGGCAUAUAUUCAUCCCAUUUUCAGUUAAGAGCGAGCAAUUUUGUUGCUAAAUGUGAACAUAUCUAAAAGUUUCCAAGAUAAUCUAUUUCAGUAAGCACAAAAGAAGUUAAAAAGUCAAUAUUACACAUAAAGUGAAGAACUUCAUAACAAUCAAUGGCCACAGUUUCCUACGAGGCCAAAACAAAUUAAAUUGCAGUUUUUUUUUUUUUUUUUUAACUGAAAUCAAGGGAAAUAUCAUUCAUGAGAAACAGAAAUGAAUUGGGGUUUAGGUGAAAAGAAAAGACCCAUAAAACAAUUCACGUGCAUAUUCUAAGUGACAUGUUUUUAUCAACAUUAACUAACCUGGUAUUGAAUAAUAAUAUAUGUGCAUGUGUAAAAUGUAGUUUGAUAUCUGAAGCUACAUAGGACUGGCAAAUCUGGAAUACGAAAGUAUAAAAGCUGAUCCCAGAAAAAAUGUCUGCAAGUCAACUAAUGCAAUGAGACUCAAAAACUUCAUUUAAUCACAAAUCAAAUGCCUAUAUAAUGAUCAAAUAAUGCUUGAUCCAAAAAAAGAAUUACAUAAAGCUCCCCCUUCAAGGUGAUCUCAUUCAAUUUCAUUGGUGGUAAGCUAUUUUGUUUAAUACUCUCAGCUAAGAAAGGGUCAAUCAAUUCCAAAUGCAUUUCCAUUAAUAAUCUUUGUGGUGAAGGACAAUGCCAGAUUUCUAGAAUCUUAUUGAAACUGCUCCAGCAUUCCUAUCACUCUUAAAGAUUUUAAUCAAUGAUGUUCCAAAUCAUUAUUCUAAUACUAGAAGUAAUCUUCAGUAUUAAUAAGUGCAUGUAAAUGGUUAUUAGCAAUACGAAAGCAGUGACAAAGGGCAGGGAGAGCUGCCCAUGCGAUCCACAAAAUUUCCCUACCCUAUAACUUUGACAUUCUCUACAAUUGCAAUGGGUUAUUGAAAAUAGAAACGAAGUAAACUAGAAUUUCCAAUUAAACAACAAAUUGCAAUACCAAACAUAGAAAGAAAAUAAAUAAAAUUGAGCUCAAGUUAGACUAGUAAAGUAAUAAACUAUACUAAAGCAAAUAAUUAUAAUAAUAAAAUCUUCCAUCCGAGACCCAGCUCAAAAAAGAGAAAGAAAAUAUGUAAAAGAAAGGAAGAUCAUGAAAUAGAUUCUGUACAUACUAAAAGAAAGCAAACUUACCAGGAGAUGAAGAGGAAGAGGAAUUAGAGGAGAAUUGAGGGACAUAAACGGGAGCAUUGUUACCAAAUAGAGUGCCCAAGUAGAAAGAACCCACCAUUAAUAAUAAAGCCAC